GGCAAGCGACGGUAGAUUGAAGCUCAAGUGUAGCUGACCUUCCAGCUCAUAAAGCAGCAAAGACCUGACUGUCCUGUGACAAUACAAACACUCCUGCUGACAGCACAUGACCAGAGCUGCUGGCAUACAGCUGCAAAAGCAGGAGAUGGCUUGGCUGGGGUGCUGACAGGGUCCCUGUCCCUGCCUGACCCUCGCCAUCACACUGCACAGGCCUCUGAGCUGCGUGGCAGGCAGUUCCUGAGCCACCACGGAUUAUUUUGUUCCCUUUACAACUGUCAGUGACACCACAGCAUUUGAAGCAUGAGGAGGAAGUUAUGCUGAGUAUCGUAGCUACUCUCACAGUAGCUACUGUGAGAGGAAAUAAAG
rnacentral:lncRNA from 1 species